UAAGGAAUAUUGGUCAAUGGGCGCAAGCCUGAACCAGCCAUGCCGCGUGCAGGAAGACGGCCCUAUGGGUUGUAAACUGCUUUUGUACGGGAAAAAACCUCCGGUCGUGUAUCGGAGCUGAUGGUACCGUAAGAAUAAGCAUCGGCUAACUCCGUGCCAGCAGCCGCGGUAAUACGGAGGAUGCAAGCGUUAUCCGGAUUCAUUGGGUUUAAAGGGUGCGCAGGCGGAAUGAUAAGUCAGUGGUGAAAUCCUGCAGCUUAACUGCAGAACUGCCAUUGAUACUGUCGUUCUUGAGUAUAGUUGAAGUGGGCGGAAUGUGUCAUGUAGCGGUGAAAUGCUUAGAUAUGACACAGAACACCGAUCGCGAAGGCAGCUCGCUAAGCUAUAACUGACGCUCAUGCGCGAAAGCGUGGGGAUCAAACA
rnacentral:rRNA from 1 species